GCCAGCAUGGUGUAGUGGUUUGAGCUAAGACUAUGACUCUGGAGAUCAGGGUUCAAUUCCUUGCUUGGCC